CCGGUGUCCCCCCCUUUCCCAGAGCAUCGUCUCAUGGAGACCGAGGAGCAGCUGGGACCAGGAGCCCCCAUGGUCAUGCGAUUGGUGGAGCAGGAGCAGGAGGGGGCACAGCAGCAGCUGGAGGCAGAGCUGGGCCGGCAACAGCUGAACCUGCAGCGUCGUGACAGGUUGGCAGAGGAGCUGCAGCAGCUGCAGCAGCCCCUGGAGGCUCUGCCAGAGUGAUGGGAGACAAGAUGGACACGACCUGCAGGACACCUGUGGCAUCUGCGUGGCACCUCYGUGAUGCACCUGUGUCACCAGCGUGUCACCUAUAGGGCAUCUGCAUCAUGGAGGACCUGUGUCCUCCCAUGUCCUCUGUAUCCCCAAUUCCCCAUUGCCCUCCCUCCCAUGUCUCCCAGUGCCCUCAAGCUCCCCCCAUUGUCCUCAUGUUCCCCAAUUUUCCCUCAUGUCCCCAUUUUCCCCAGUGUCCCCUAUAUCCGCCCAGAUCCCUGUGUGCUCCCCAAUGUCUCUAUUUUCCCCUGUUCCCCAAUGCCCCCCCAUCUCCCCACUGCCCCUCACUGCCCCUCAGGUCUCCCCAUGUCCCACAUCCACCCAGGUCCCCAUAUGCCCCCCUAUGCCCCCUGCAAUGUCCCCUCCAUGUCCCCUCCAUGCCCCUCCGAUGUCCCCCACGUUUCCCAAUAAACUC